GUAAUCUAAUUAAAGUUGCCGAAGACAGCAGGUGCGUGAGCGUAAGUUGAGAAACGCCUGCCGAGGAAAGUUAGAUUCUGUUAUGAGUGAAUUUACAGUGCCUUUGUGUCUUUGGAUACAGAGGCGUUUUUUUUGGCAGCA
rfam:Dorea sp. CAG:317, WGS project CBGJ01000000 data, contig: 39